GAUGAACGCUGGCGGCGUGCCUAAUACAUGCAAGUCGAGCGAACGGACGAGAAGCUUGCUUCUCUGAUGUUAGCGGCGGACGGGUGAGUAACACGUGGAUAACCUACCUAUAAGACUGGGAUAACUUCGGGAAACCGGAGCUAAUACCGGAUAAUAUUUUGAACCGCAUGGUUCAAAAGUAAAAGACGGUCUUGCUGUCACUUAUAGAUGGAUCCGCGCUGCAUUAGCUAGUUGGUAAGGUAACGGCUUACCAAGGCAACGAUGCAUAGCCGACCUGAGAGGGUGAGGCGCCAACCGGGAAAUGGGACGCGGGCCAGACCCCUAAGGGGGGGAGGAGUAGGGAAUCUUCCGCAAGGGGCAAAAGCCUGGGGGAGCAACGGCGGGUGAGUGAAGAAGGUCUUCGGGUCGAAAAACUUUUUUAUUAGGGAAGAACAGGUGUGAAAGUAAAGGUGCCAAUCUUGACGAGACCUAGUAAAAAAGCCAGGGCUAACUGCAU
rnacentral:rRNA from 1 species